rnacentral:lncRNA from 1 species
CCUUGUCCGUGAUUUUCCCUAAUUUUUAGGGAUUUCUCCUCUGUAAGUGGUCUCCAUGUGAUUCUAGAUGUCUUCCAGGGUUUCUUCCUCUAGCGGCUCUAGGAGUUCGUCCGUUUCGGUCUCCCAGAGUCCUCAGGCUGUAGAUGAACCGGUAGCUAGAGCUGAACCUCGUCCGAUUUUUACGUCGGACGCCAUUCCUUGUUCUCUGACUCCGGACGAACUCCAACU